rnacentral:rRNA from 1 species
UACGGAGGGGGCUAGCGUUGUUCGGAAAUACUGGGCGUAAAGCGCACGUAGGCGGCGCAGCAAGUCAGGGGUGAAAUCCCGGGGCUCAACCCCGGAACUGCCCUUGAAACUGCAGUGCUAGAAUCUUGGAGAGGCGAGUGGAAUUCCGAGUGUAGAGGUGAAAUUCGUAUAUAUUCGGAAGAACACCAGUGGCGAAGGCGACUUACUGGACACAUAUUGACGCUGAGGUGCGAAAGCGUGGGGAGCAAACAGG